rnacentral:rRNA from 1 species
AUUGAACGCUGGCGGCAGGCCUAACACAUGCAAGUCGAACGAGUGGCGGACGGGUGAGUAAUGUCUGGGAAACUGCCCGAUGGAGGGGGAUCACUACUGGAAACGGUAGCUAAUACCGCAUACCAUAGGAUGAGCCCAAGUGGGCUUAGGUAGUUGGUGAGGUAAAGGUUCACCAAGCCGACGAUCUCUAGCUGGUCUGAGAGGAUGACCAGCCACACUGGGACGCAGACACGGCCCAUCCUCCUACGGUGGGCAGCAGUGGGGAAUAUGGCGCAAUGGGUGCAACCCUGACGCAGCCAUUCCGCUUGAAUUAAGAAGGCCUUCGGUUUGUAAAGUUCUUUCGGUAGCGAGGCGUUAACUACAGAAGAAGCACCGGCUAACUCCGUGCCAGCAGCCGCGGUAAUUC